GUCAUAAUAGUUUAAUUAUUGAAGAACGUCCGCCUUGUAAUCGGGAAGUUAUAUAGUGGCU
rnacentral:tRNA from 1 species